AGUGAACGCUGGCGGUAGGCCUAACACAUGCAAGUCGAACGGCAGCACAGUAAGAGCUUGCUCUUACGGGUGGCGAGUGGCGGACGGGUGAGGAAUACAUCGGAAUCUACUUUUUCGUGGGGGAUAACGUAGGGAAACUUACGCUAAUACCGCAUACGACCUACGGGUGAAAGCAGGGGAUCUUCGGACCUUGCGCGAUUGAAUGAGCCGAUGUCGGAUUAGCUAGUUGGCGGGGUAAAGGCCAACCAAGGGGACGAUCCGUAGCUGGUCUGAGAGGAUGAUCAGCCACACUGGAACUGAGACACGGUCCAGACUCCUACGGGAGGCAGCAGUGGGGAAUAUUGGACAAUGGGCGCAAGCCUGAUCCAGCCAUACCGCGUGGGUGAAGAAGGCCUUCGGGUUGUAAAGCCCUUUUGUUGGGAAAGAAAAGCAGCAGGUUAAUACCCCGCUGUUCUGACGGUACCCAAAGAAUAAGCACCGGCUAACUUCGU
rnacentral:rRNA from 1 species